CUGGCUGUGGAGGUAAAAGGAUGAAAACCCACAGCAGCUAAGUCAUUUUGGUAAACAACUAACAGAUUUGACAUAAAUAUAAGUCAGAACCAGACGAGAAUGUGAAUGAAAGUGUGUCUAAUUCCCUUUUCCAGUUCCAGCUUCAUUAAAUGGACUUUUCCACUUUUCCUAAGCCGGCAGUGGUUUGUUCUCUUUAUUAGUGGUGAAACGACACGUCCCAGUCACCAGGUCUGUAUUGGAGUGUGUUUGACAUCCAGAUGAGCGAGAGGAGGGCAAGACUCGGCCCUGGAGGACCCAAACUGUGUAAACCCGCCGGUACAAUAACGAGGCCUGACAUUCAUUUGAACUGCAUUAGUCUCCCUCUCGCCUCGCUGGGAUGAGUGGAGGCCUGGAGCCAAAGGUUGGUUCAUUCAGAGCGUACAGGGGGGGGGGGGGGGGUGUUGUAUGGAAGAGGUGAGGCGGCAAUUGAGACUUCACCGUGUAAUGAGUGAUGCCAUCAGCCCAUGGGGGCGAGCGGGGCCUUGAUUUGGAGCGAUGGAUCUGAGAUUAGAGAUGGGCGAGGUGGAGGACAGGGAACGGAUCCGCAGGGCCAAACAGAUGCUGACUACCUGCUUCUGUUACUGGUGGGAAGUAAAAGGAUCAAAAGGAAAUAAAUAGGAAAAAUAUUUAGAUUUUGCCUAAUUUGAAAGGAGGAUUGAAAUUUGGAGUGACCUCUAAGUUUACAGGUGCGUUUACGCCGGCCUGAGGUGGCCUGGAGAGGGAAAAAGCACGUCAAGGUUCAUUUGGGAGACACACACUCACUCGCACACGCUCUCGUGAGAUUUUCACGAGUUUUAUUACGUCGCCAAAACCCAAAAAACACAUCUUAAAAGCAACAAAGUUCAAUCAAAAACCUGCUGGGAUAAAAUCUAAAGAGUUUUGCUCUGGUGCUUCUGUUUAAAACAUGGCAGCUGCUUCCUGUCAAAAUCCAAAAUAUUUCAUUCAACCUCCAGGAAGUGACUUGUUUGAAUGAAAAGUCUCAGCGGUGCGGCCCACCGAGAGGAGGACAACUGAACUAAUUAAACAAAUUAGCACUUCCUUUCUGUGGCACCGUAGAUGCUUCUCGGCACGCUGAAAUGGCGCCGGUGCUGAAUCACUCUCACCGCUGCAAAAGCACUUAAAAUUACCCACCUGAAUGGAGAUGGAACGUGUGAGUGCAAAGUGCUGUUAGCGUGAUUAGACAACUCCAGCUGUAAGCCGUCCUUACUUAACCAGCCAUCAUAGUUUCGUUUUACUAGUUACCCUUCGGUGUUGUUCUGUUGCAUGUUUUAGGGGCUGUAUUGAGCUUUCUUUAGUUCUUCCCGACUCCCACUCUGCACACAAUCUCAGUUUGAGACUGCUGCACGUCUGGAAACCUGCAGAAAACUUUCUGCUGCCUUUGUGUUGAUACUGACCUAAUAUGGUUGACUACAAAUUAAUUUAAACGUAUACAGAAAAAGUCUUCUUUACAAAUGGAAACUGCUCUAUGAAGCAUUUAAAACUUUGUAGCAUUAGCUUGGGCUAGCAUUAGCAGUUCCCCAGGCUGGCAUUAGCAGUAGCUUGGGAUAGUGCUAGCUUGGGCUAGCAUUAGCAGUUCCCCAUACUGGCAUUAGCAGUAGCUCAGGCUAGUGCUAGCAGUAGCUUGGGCUAGCAUUAGCAGUUCCGCAGGCUGGCAUUAGCACAGUGGCGGCGCCAGGGGGGAGUUACAGCUACCCCUGGAUUAGUCAUUGCACCCCCAAGUAAAUAUUAGAUUAUUAUUUUUUUUUACAAUUUAAAUUUAACGUGUGGAUGUGAUAAUAUUUAACAUACAAAACAAAAUAAUCAGUAAAUUAUCAUAUAGAUAGUAAAAACUUAAACCAAAACAGGAAAUUGAUGUUAACCUUUGACCUCAUUUUCCACCUGUGAACGAGUGAAAGGUAGAGCUAGUGGUGAAAUGGAUCGGUUUUUGUUGCCCACAUUUCCACAAGUUCAGUCAGAAACAAAUGAAUGUUUGGAAGUGAUGUCAGAGCCACAAAAACCUACGGAUCUGGAUGAAGAGAGUCAACCCUCAACCGCCGCAGCAGUCGAGGGUUUGAAAUGCUAACACUAACGUUAGCUAACCUUGCAACACUAUGAUUUCAUGGAAAAGUCAGAGAUUGUUCAUAUGUUUAUGAUGUAUAUUAAUGAUUGUUUCAGGUGUUGUUGAGGUGUUGUGCACACAUGUGUAUCUGCUAGUGUUGAAGGCGUUUUAGAGAACAAUAGGUACGCAUGACCACUUCUUUCAUAGCACCCUCAAUAAAAAGACUAGCUCCUUCAUAGCACCUGCAGAAAAACAUUUCUGGAGCCGCCACUGCAUUAGCAGUAGCUUGGGAUAGCGCUAGCUUGAGCUAGCAUUAGCAGUUCCCCAGGCUGGCAUUAGCAGUAGCUUGGGUUAGCAUUGUUCUGCAGUUAGCAUUGCUGCUACUAAUGUUUAUUGCUGAAGUUGAAGGGUUGGGACCUGCAAGCUGAAGCUUUUGACAUGUUAAACAAGCUUUUCUCAGAAUGAAUCUUUCUUCUUUGCAGUUAAAACAUUACCGAUUCACAUGGCAGCAGGUCAGAGAAAUAAAUGUAAAUGUGGUUUUAAAUUCUUGGGCCACUUUAAUAAUCUGCACACAUACAGAGAAUCAGAGAGAUUAUUCCAUCAGGUGUGUCCCUCUCCCACAAUCAUCUUCUUCUCUUUCGUUUUUUGCAUCUGCACCAAUAAAUAAUUCAGUGGAUGAGAAAACAAGCUACAUAUGGCGACCACUUCUCCUUAAACAGCUGAGGCAGGAAGAAGGAGCAUUUAGCUUUGAGUCUGCAAACAUGAUCUGCAACUCAGAGUCACAACUUCUGAUUCUUUCUGCGGGAAAGCAUUUGGGUCAGCAGCAAACCGCGUGGAAGGAACGUUAAUAAACUAAUAAAUUCUCUUUGUCUGCCGCCGUGUCGUCCAGCUGCUCAGCCAGAUGUUCCCAUUCAGGGCUUCAUAGAGCCUGCAACUGAUCGCUAUGGUGAGCGGUUUAGGCGAUCCUCCAUCAUACUUUAUUUACACUAAACAAAUAAUAAAUGUAUGCAGAAUGAUACCCAGCAAACCUCACCGAUGCUGUUAGUUAAACGAUGCAUUUAACAUGUUUUCUGGGAUAUUAACAGCUAAUUUAUGCAGCAUCAGGGGGAAAACUCAUGAUUCUUGUUACAACACCUAAAUAAUUUGGCUUUAUUGUCAAACGUGAUAAAAAUGUUAUUUGAAUGAAAGAACAGACUUCAGCGAGAGGACGUUUUAAACUGAUGCUGAGAAAAGGAGGAAUUUCGUCAGGGUUGCAUGUUGGUACAGAUGGUAGCACUGUUGCCUCAAAGCAAGAAGGUUGAAGGUUUGAAUCUUUGUAAGUGCGGAAAGUCCUGGUAUUCUAGUUUCCUCCCACAGACCAAAUCUCACACUUUCCUCUGUGCAUUGGUUGCUUUUACUGUUUUUCGUCUCCAGAAUGGAUCUCCGCGUUUCUGUCUGCAGACUGACUCAGCAAAGAGACGAUCAACAGCACAGCCCCGAUGACGCCACAUCACAAAACACUUUCCUCUGCCUGACUCUUGAACCUCAGAGGGCCCUUUGCUCAAAGAGACGCCACCCUGAGUGCAUCAACGUGCGGCACCUUACAUAUUCAGCGUCGGGGUUCUGAGAGCUCAGUGACGUAAACUAAUCAUUCAGCUAAUUAUUAAUUCAGUGACCAAACCAGAAAUAUCCAGCGCAUUUUUCUGCCCUUGUCACCGCUUGUGGGUAGAAGCAGGAUGCCAGGGCAGCAGGUACACUGAAUGCCAACCAGAGUGAGCACGAUGACUUGGCAGCCUGACUCUGACUCUCAAGCUACAAAAAAACAACACGGAGGGCAGAAUUGGGUUCAUCUUGGUUCAAAUAAAGUGUUUUUGAAGCGAAAUGAUGUUUUGCUGCAUCGUCCAUGCGGGUAACUGAUGCGGUUUAGCAAAAAGGUCCACAAAAAAAGAGGCUUUUUAAUAGUGAAAAAAACAGGAAACCUGCGAAGGCUCUUAGGCCUUGUCUACACGUAGCUGGUUUAAAAAAAAAACAUCCGCCCCUCAGAAACUUGCAUCCACACCACCUCGUUUAAAAACAAAACUCUGUCCACACCUACCCGGAUAAAUACGUUGUUAAGGACAUGCCAGACCUGUAGGCGGCAGUACUUCCCCGUUCUUAACCUCGUCCUUCGUCUGUGGUCUUCCGCAAGGAGCAGUAAUUCCGCUUGCAAAAACAAACAAGCAGAAAGCGCUUGGACAAUUGAUAAAGCGAGCGCAGCUCUGAGGGCAUCCAUGCUGUCGGCUAGUGUAAACACAGGUCGCACACGUGAUGUCAGCAUUUUUUUGUCGCGGAAAGUGACGUUGCAGACCUUAAAACUCCGGUUUUGUCUGUCCACACGCAGACACCCAAAACGGAGAAAACGCACAUCUGGAGUUUUUAAAAAGAUCCGUUUUCGUAUGAAAAAACUCCGUUUUCAUGUGGAUGACAGGCCAAAACGUAGAAAAACAUCUGCGUUUUGGCAGAUCCCCGGCUACGUGUGGACAGGGCCUGAGUCAUCCAGGUCAUGGGAAUUCAAAGGGUUCACAUGAAGGCAACUGGACUUCUUUGGUUUGGUUUCUUUAAGGUGAAUCUUUAAGAUGAAAGACGGUUGCGCUUUUAACUGUAGCUGCUUAACGAGCUGAAACUACCUAUGAAUGCCCUGCCCCCCUACCCCUGAUGAGUUGUUUAUGUCAUUAGGUCUUAUUGUGUUGGUGUAAUUGUUUUGAUUAAAUGCAGGAGGGUAUGACCUUGACUGAACCCUGGUGAACCCUGAGGCCUCCUCUAUUUAAGGUAGGAUUUUUUCCGUUUGACAUAGAUCGCUUCCUUUACUCCUCUCUCAAACCAUAUCCGUCCAGAAUGUGCACUUUGCCAUCUACAAAAAUGUGGCCCCUGCCCUUCAGGUGCACUCACUGUACCCAACGACAUCAAUGACUCCUCGGUGGGUAAGGAGGAGGGAUAUUCGUAGGUAGUUUCAGUUUGUUAACAGACAUCUACAAGCUUCACUCUCCGUAUUCAGUCAGAAUUGACAAAGCUCCUCGGACGAGAAGCAAAACAUCGUCAAGAAACCAAAGAAGUUCAGUUGCCUUCUUUUGAACUCUUUGGAUUUGUUAUAAAGUUCACUUCAUCGAUUAAAAACAUGAAAACAGAAGCAUUGGAACUCAAAAGCAUCAGAACAACGAGGACUGGAAUCGGAGCCGACAUGCAGCUUCACGGGAAGAGUCCUCAAACAAGAAGCUAAGAAGCCUUUUAUCUCCCAGACCCCUGAUGUGUUGCUCUUGUGCGUCUAAUCCGAGCAUCUCCUCCACCGAGAUAAUAAUGAAACGAGGCAGAAGGAGGUCAGCGCCCGGAUCAUGGUCUCAUUUAAGCAAAAUCAUCAAGAGGAGGAGCAGGAGCUGAACAAAGAGAGAGCCAAAGAAUUAGGACUUUUUUUUAAGAUUCCCAAAGAAACUUGGAACAAAGAUAAAUCGGAUAAAAAUAAAAACAAGUCAAAGCCUCA